rnacentral:rRNA from 1 species
CACCGCGGUUAUACGAGAGGCUCAAAUUGACAGGCGCCGGCGUAAAGAGUGGUCAAGGAUUCAAUGUAAUAAGGCCGUACACCCCCCCCGCUGUUAUACGCCCCCGGAGAAAUGAAGCCCCCACGAAAGUAGCCUUACCACACCUGAACCCACGACAACUAAGAAC